UACAAUCUCACGUGUUCCUAAAGUUGUGUUACACCAUUUUACACAUGGACAUGGUAUUUCACACAUUUCUCCUGUUCUUCUAAAAGCAUAAUCCAAAAAAGUUUGCACCCCAUUUAAGUAAGCUUCAUCAAGUCUAUCGACAACUUGCAUCCACUGCUUACUAGGUGGCAUAAGCUUAGAUAUUACAUAAGAAUCAUAUUAGAAAAAAUAUAAAGGAUAAUGAAAGUACUCUAAGAUGCACAUAACCUUUUAGGAAAAACGAACUGAGUAAGGAGGAAGAAGCCCGAAUUCUAAAUUUUGUAUCAUAUAAGCAAUAUUAUCAUGACUCGACUAGAAAUAUAACAAAAGGACUUGAUUACCAUUUCUGUGACUCAUUGCCUAGUACAAAUACACUAAGAAAUUAAGACCAUAGCUGUUGUACAGAAGUAACAUGGUAUGCACAUUACUCUGUCUAAAAAAAUAGAUACCAUAAUUCUAUUCUAAUCACCUCAAAUACAGAACACAAAUUCUCAGUUAUUUUUAUCAUUAUGACAAAAUUUAAGUAAUUGUGGUAUGCAAAAGAUAUCCCAUAACACGACUAAGAAUUGCAAUGAGAUGCAAUACUAAUAUCUAAAUACACAUAUUUUCUUCUCCUCUGCUUACCAUAAAGAAGAAAGUUUCCUGAAUUAAGAUAAGAGCACUGAAAAAUCAAAAGGAACCAAGAAUAAUUUAAAUGCUACAGCAAAAGGGCUCCAAUGAAAAUUCACCCAUAGACAAUCUAAACAAAAUGAAGUAAAGAUAUGAUUUCUUAUAUAAAAAAUAAACAAUUGCACAAAUCCUUGAGAGUUAGAAUGUCCCUGCAAAGUAUAGAUCUGAGGAGAAACUUCUAAUCUGAGUAAUGUUGUAAUGGACCCAAUGUUUGAUAAUGCUAAGCUUAUACAACACUAGAUAACGUUGUAUGACUGCAAUAACAAACCUAAUUGAAGCUAUGUUUUCGCUUACUAGACUUUUCAGUGGCAUAGCCUAUAGUAUAUGAUAUGUGCAACAGUUGUGUUGUUGGUCGAAUAUGUUAGGCUAUGAUUAUUGAUUACUACAUAAUUUGAUACUUAUAACAUUAAACAAUGAAUCUGACCUCUUGAUUCUGCGAACUCUUUUUUCUCACACAAACAGGUACCUGGGGUGACUUACUUAGGAUUAGUACCACGACGCAUAAAAAAGGUUGCAAUUCUUGGAGGUGAUUUAAUGGGUUCUAGAAUUGCUACUACACUGCUGCUUAGUCAAUGGCGGAUCCAAGUUUUUAAAGUAAUGAGUGCUCCAUUGCCUUUAACUUAGAUUGACCCAUAUAUAUUUAUAGGUGUAUGUUAAGGUUAAAAUUUAACGAGAAAAUGUACUAAGGUUAUCAUUACAACAGAAAUUAGAUGCUAUUUUUGAACGGUGAACACUUCAUUUUUCAGUAAUAAACCGAUCAAAAGAAAGAAAGAAAAUAAAUUAACAAAGGAAAAAAUAAGAGAGAAAUGGUACAAGGAAUGUAAAGAAAAUAAUGAAAAAGGAAACACGAAAGAAUCGACAAAAAAAACUUUUUCAAUCGGAAAACUAUGCCUCAAACAAGUUUCGUGGGUGCUCAUUGUUCUAUGUUGUGAUUAUCAUUAAUUUACUAUACAAUACCCAUACUUUAAACCAAAGAUAAUGGUUGUUGCACCCACAUGGGCGGAACAUGUUAAAUUACACUGCAAUAAUUAUUUGCACUCCCUGUAUAAAAGUUAAAUCUUUACAAUACCAAAUGCCGACAAGUAAUGAAAGACGUGCAAGCUGACCAAUGAUCAAUAUUUUCCAUAGCUGCUUCAUUGUAUAUAGAAGCCAUGAGGAUCCGCAUAUAAUUGCUAUUAUUGCAGAAUAUCAAAUAAUGUUAUAGUUACACAGAAACAAUAUCUAAAAACAGAGAACCAUAGUAGAGGAAGAACAAAUUUGAAGAACAAAUACCAAACAAAGCAUAGGCUUCUAUAAAAAUUCAAAAAGAGACACCCAAGAAAAUAUAAUCUGAAAAAUAACUGAUUGUAAAAAAAAAUAUUGAGUAGUAGCAAACCAAUUACUACCAAAAAAAAAAAAAAUCAAGAUUUCACAAACCUGCAAAAUGGGUUAUUGAGAAAUAUUAAACAAAGGUUAACUCAAGAUAUAUAGAGAAAGAAAUUGUGCUUACUUGUGAUAGAUAAGUAGUAAAUUUUUAGUUUGAUAUUCUCCCCAAAUCUGCAAAAAAUGAGCUUAGAUGACCUAUCUUAAGAGAGAUAGAAGAAAAAUAUUGAUUUAGUUUCAAUACAUGUACCUUCGCUUAUGGAGUUUUAGGAGAUUUAGGGUUUAUACUUUUUUGAGGAGUGAGGGAGAUAAGCCUUGAGAGAAAUCAGCAGAUUAGGUUUUCUUAAAAGUUAGAGUAAAUUAUUUUUUAUGUUUUAU
rnacentral:lncRNA from 1 species